rnacentral:ribozyme from 1 species
UCCGGACUCUCCGGGAAGGUCUGUGGCCAGGGCCAAGGUGCAGCUGCAGUCCAAGAACCUCCGGAGGUUCUGGACAGCCGGCGAUCCCUCCUGACCUCGCUGGCCGGCAUCCCUCGAGCAGGGGUCUCCUGUG